rnacentral:rRNA from 1 species
CGGAUCCCAUCAGAACUCCACAGUUAAGCGCGCUUGUGCUAGAGUAGUAUUGGGAUGGGUGACCUACCAGGAAGUCCUAGUGUUGCACCCU